rnacentral:rRNA from 1 species
AUGGAGGCGUACGUGUGUUCGUCGUCGGCGGCAGCGAUGGCGGGGGACCUGGAAGGCGUGGCGCGCGUGUACGAGCACGUGGAGCCGCUCCUGCGGUUCGCGCGUGCCGAGCAGGUGGAGGAGGAGCUGGAGGCGUCCGUCGGGCUGCUCGACGCCUGCGCCGCGGCGCGGGACGGGCUGCGCUCCAUGCGCGCCUCCGCGUUCGACCUCGAGGUCGCCCUCCGGCGCGGGGACGCCGCCGCCGCCGAGAUCGCCGCUCGCGCCUACACGCUCCUUGCCAGGAAGGCCGGCGCCGACGUGAAGAGGCAGCAGCAGCGGCAGCACCGGCACCGGCACAUCAGCCCGUGUCAAGCGGGAGAGAGCGGCGGGCGGUCGCUGGAGGAGGCGCGACGGGUCACCGUGGCGGUGCUGGAGCGCGUCGUGACUGCGCUGUCGCGACGGGUGGCCGUGUCCGCCGGGCGGAGCAGGUGGUCCACGUGCAUCGCCGCGAGGGCGUUCAGGAAGAGGACGCGGGUGGCGUGCGAGGACGCCGAGAACACCACCGCCACAACCGUCCUGCCGUCGCUGGCUCUGCGCAAAGAUUCGACGGCGUCGCGGGCGCAGAGGGAGCUCAGAGCGCUGGGAGACACGAUCCAGCAGCUGGAGGAGGGGCUGGAGCUGCUCUUCAGGCGCCUGGUGCAAUGCAGGGCAUUCCUGCUCGACAUGUGCAGCUCAUAG